ACGAACGCUGGCGGCGUGCUUAACACAUGCAAGUCGAACGGAAAGGCCUGCUUUCCCUUGUGGAUUGCGGGUACUCGAGUGGCGAACGGGUGAGUAACACGUGAGUGAUCUGCCCCCAACUUGGGUAUAAGCCUGGGAAACUGGGUCUAAUUCCCGAUAGGACUGCAGGGUGGUGCCUGUGGUGGAAAACGAUUUUCUAGUGGUUGGGGAUGAGCUCGCGGCCUAUCAGCUUGUUGGUGGGGUAAUGGCCUACCAAGGCGGCGACGGGUAGCCGGCCUGAGAGGGUGGACGGCCACAUUGGGACUGAGAUACGGCCCAGACUCCUACGGGAGGCAGCAGUGGGGAAUAUUGCACAAUGGGCGGAAGCCUGAUGCAGCGACGCCGCGUGGGGGAUGACGGCCUUCGGGUUGUAAACUCCUUUCGACCGCGAGGAAGCCACCUGGUGGGAAGGGUGGUGACGGUAGUGGUAGAAGAAGCACCGGCUAACUACGU
rnacentral:rRNA from 1 species